rnacentral:lncRNA from 1 species
GAUCAGACAUAUACUUCUAAGUUCGAACCUAAGCUGGAAGCACCAGAAUAAUUUCUGUACCAAUUGAUGUAACCAUCUAGUAAUGGUGACCCGACGUCCGGAUAGGCCGAAUGUAUGCCCAACAAUAUUCUAGAACCUACAUGGAUAUAGUUACCGUAUAAUUCAUUCCUUUGACACACGAUGCUCAAAGACAACUUAGGGUUAAACUGUCAACCCA